GGAUUGAUGAUGACUGCCAAAUACACAUUCCUUGGAAAGCUGAACAAAAUGAGUGAAAACUCUAUACCGUUGUCCUCAUCGAACUGAGGUCC
ensembl:snoRNA SNORD116 Small nucleolar RNA SNORD116